rnacentral:lncRNA from 1 species
GUUAGGUUAUCACAUGGUCUAUAAUAAAGGGGCGAAAGAGGAAUAAAGCAUGCUGAAUUUCAGAGAAGUCUGGUGGAGAGAAUUGGCCUCUCGAAUGCCAAAUAUCCAAGUCUUUUUAUUCAUUGUUUUUGUAGUACAAUUUCAUAAAUUUACAGAUUGUGUUACUGUUUCCAUUUACUCACUACAUAAGCAAUUGUUCUCUAUCUUCAAUUCAAUAUAGAGUUAUGCUUUACAAUCAACAUCUCCCACCUACAUCCCUCCAUUACAAUAUUGUUGCCUAGCAAUUCUACUGAUCUGCUGAGUCACAGAUCCACAGAGCAGCAGA